rnacentral:rRNA from 1 species
UUUUGGACAAUGGGCGCAAGCCUGAUCCAGCCAUGCCGCGUGAGUGAAGAAGGCCUUCGGGUUGUAAAGCUCUUUCGGCGGGGACGAAACGGUUCGUGCUAAUGCCACGGACUACUGACGGUACCCGCAGAAGAAGCACCGGCUAACUACGUGCCAGCAGCCGCGGUAAUACGGGGGGGGCAAGCGUUGUUCGGAAUUACUGGGCGUAAAGGGCUCGUAGGCGGCCAACUAAGUCAGACGUAAAUCCCUCGGCUAACCGGGAACUGCGUCUAUACUGAUGGCUUAGUGAGGAAGGAUGCGAAUUCCAGGUGAGCGGUAAAUGCGAGUUCUGAGAACACCGGUGCAAGCGCACCUGGCAAUCUGACUGAGCAGUCGGGUACU